GGAGAAUAAAGGAGAGAAGGAAUAACACACAUUUCUAUGCUUCUAUGAACUUGGAGCUGCUGGUGUGUGAAGUAGAGCAGUCUUGUCUCUGUUCUCAUUGAAACCACUCAUUAAUAUUCACCAGAGGACAAUUACUCAGCCAGGAGCUUUAUGAAGCAGUACCAUCUCCCAAGGGGCAAUCCCUCGAGAGUUCAACAUGUUCAGCCACCAUCUGCCCAACUGCAAAUUCAGCAGGAAAGAAGCACAGGUGAAGUUGAGAGGAGACUCUUGAAUGUGCCAGAGACAUCCACUAAGAUUACUGACUUUUCAAAUCCUGCCCCAGAUUUUUCCCCAAAGACAGAUAAAUCAAGCUACCAAAGCUAUGACAGUCAGAAAAGUUACCUUUAUGUCAGUAAAUUGACAUGCAAUAUGUGUCCUCCAGUAACAUGCUUGUACAAAGCACUGAAUGUGUGCUAUAGUGUGUUACAUAUGAUCAACCCUUCAGCCAAACAGGAUAUUACUUAUCUGGGAGUGUCAAGCCAUUUACAUUUUUGAAUGACAUGUACAAGUUUAAAAUAUGAUUAAGAUUUUGGCUUUUGGUAGAGCUACUCUCUCUAUUGACCUUCCUGCCCCCCCUGAAGAAACCAACCUUUACCAACCUUCUGGGAUAAAAUCAGAUCUGGUAUAGAUCUGUAUAUCUCUUGAAUUCGCUGAACUCAAGCAUUUUUUUCACUAACGACAAAAGUGAUUUUAACUAACUUCACCCUACAAACAGUUCAGUGUACUGCCAGAAAGUGAGAAGAUGGUCUCCUUCUCAAAAGAAAGGAAGAGGCAAGACUUUUUGGCCAUUUGUAUUGUUUUAAACUGUGUGUCUAAGUUAUUUUGGCAGACUGUCACUCUCAAAGGGCCUCCCUUUACUGAGGAGAGAGGGGUCACAGAAAAGAUAAAGUCUCCUGCUCUUUGACCGGUGAGAUCAGUACUAUCCCUAAUAAAUAUGAUUCCCUAACUUAGACACUUAGAAUAUCCCAAGUAUUAUUUCUAAUAUUGUGCCUCUAUUUUACUGGGCCAGAUUUAAUAGAUUUGUAAGUUAGUGCAAAGAUAUUAGUCAUGAAAGGUUACUGGCAACUGGAAGUCAGCAGUUGCCAAGAGCAAUCUUUUUUUUUUUUUUUUUUUUUUUUUUUUUUUCCCCAGUAUUUUGUGAGGUUAC
rnacentral:lncRNA from 1 species